UGGGGAAUAUUGCACAAUGGGCGCAAGCCUGAUGCAGCCAUGCCGCGUGUGUGAAGAAGGCCUUCGGGCUGUAAAGCACUUUCAGCGGGGAGGAAGGCGGUGAGGUUAAUAACCUCAUCGAUUGACGUUACCCGCAGAAGAAGCACCGGCUAACUCCGUGCCAGCAGCCGCGGUAAUACGGAGGGUGCAAGCGUUAAUCGGAAUUACUGGGCGUAAAGCGCACGCAGGCGGUCUGUCAAGUCGGAUGUGAAAUCCCCGGGCUCAAACUGGGAACUGCAUUCGAAACUGGCAGGCUAGAGUCUUGUAGAGGGGGGUAGAAUUCCAGGUGUAGCGGUGAAAUGCGUAGAGAUCUGGAGGAAUACCGGUGGCGAAGGCGGCCCCCUGGACAAAGACUGACGCUCAGGUGCGAAAGGGUGGGGAGCAAACAGG
rnacentral:rRNA from 1 species